AAAAUUAUAGUAAAAGGAAAAUCCGUUGAUUUUAAAAAAUCGUGAGGG
rnacentral:tRNA from 1 species